AGCGAACGCUGGCGGCAGGCUUAACACAUGCAAGUCGAGCGGCCGUAGCAAUACGGCAGCGGCAGACGGGAGAGUAACACGUGGGAACGUACCCUUCAGUACGGAACAACCAAGGGAAACUUUGGCUAAUACCGUAUACGUCCGUAAGGAGAAAGAUUUAUCGCUGAAGGAUCGGCCCGCGUCUGAUUAGCUAGUUGGUGAGGUAACGGCUCACCAAGGCGACGAUCAGUAGCUGGUCUGAGAGGAUGAUCAGCCUCACUGGGACUGAGACACGGCCCAGACUCCUACGGGAGGCAGCAGUGGGGAAUAUUGGACAAUGGGCGCAAGCCUGAUCCAGCCAUGCCGCGUGGAUGAUGAAGGCCCUAGGGUUGUAGAGUCCUUUUAACGGGGAAGAUAAUGACGGUACCCGUAGAAUAAGCCCCGGCUAACUUCGUGCCAGCCGCUGCCGUAA
rnacentral:rRNA from 1 species